GACGAAGGAUGCAAGCGUUAUCCGGAUUCAUUGGGUUUAAAGGGAUCGUAGGCGGUCUUGUAAGUCAGUGGUGAAAUCUGUGGGCUUAACCCACAAACUGCCAUUGAUACUGCAGGUCUAGAGUACAGUUGCCGUUGGCGGAAUAUGACAUGUAGUGGUGAAAUACUUAGAUAUGUCAUAGAACACCGAUUGCGAAGGCAGCUAACGAAGCUGUAACUGACGCUGAGGCUCGAAAGUGCGGGGAUCAAACAGG
rnacentral:rRNA from 1 species